GCGUUGUCCGGAUUUAUUGGGCGUAAAGCGCGUGUAGGCGGCCGGCUAGGUCUGGUGUGAAAACUCGAGGCUCAACCUCGAGAUGUCGCCGGAAACCAGUCGGCUAGAGUCCGGAAGAGGAGAGUGGAAUUCCUGGUGUAGCGGUGAAAUGCGCAGAUAUCAGGAAGAACACCUAUGGCGAAAGCAGCUCUCUGGGACGGUACUGACGCUGAGACGCGAAAGCGUGGGGAGCGAACAGG
rnacentral:rRNA from 1 species